rnacentral:rRNA from 1 species
GGGCGCUUUGGCUUUGGCAGCGGUCCAAGUUUCCUUGGAACAGGACGUCACAGAGGGUGAGAAUCCCGUACGUGGUCGCUAGCUAUUGCCGUGUAAAGCCCCUUCGACGAGUCGAGUUGUUUGGGAAUGCAGCUCUAAAUGGGAGGUAAAUUUCUUCUAAAGCUAAAUAUUGGCCAGAGACCGAUAGCGCACAAGUAGAGUGAUCGAAAGAUGAAAAGCACUUUGGAAAGAGAGUCAAACAGCACGUGAAAUUGUUGAAAGGGAAGCGCUUGCAGCCAGACUUGCUUGCAGUUGCUCAUCCGGGCUUUUGCCCGGUGCACUCUUCUGCAGGCAGGCCAGCAUCAGUUUGGGCGGUGGGAUAAAGGUCUCUGACACGUUCCUUCCUUCGGGUUGGCCAUAUAGGGGAGACGUCAUACCACCAGCCUGGACUGAGGUCCGCGCAUCUGCUAGGAUGCUGGCGUAAUGGCUGUAAGCGGCCCGUCU